UACGUAGGCAGCAAGCGUUGUUCGGAAUUACUGGGCGUAAAGAGUGUGUAGGCGGUGCUCUAAGUCUGUUGUGAAAUCUCCCGGCUUAACCGGGAGGGUGCGGCGGAAACUGGAGUGCUUGAGGGUGGGAGAGGUAAGCGGAAUUCCUGGUGUAGCGGUGAAAUGCGUAGAUAUCAGGAGGAACACCUGUGGUGUAGACAGCUUACUGGACCACUUCUGACGGUGAGACACGAAAGCGUGGGUAGCAAACAGG
rnacentral:rRNA from 1 species